AACACUGUUAACCUGCGGUACCUGCGGAGGGAUCAUUACCGAGUGCGGGCCCUCUGGGUCCAACCUCCCACCCGUGUUUAUUGUACCUUGUUGCUUCGGCGGGCCCGCCAUUCUGGCCGCAAAGGGGCACCUGCCCCUACGCCCGCGCCCGCCGAAGACAUCUCGAACUCUGUCUGAAGAUUGGAGUCUGAGUGGAAUUACAAAUUAGUUAAAACUUUCAACAAUGGAUCUCAGAUCGGA
rnacentral:misc_RNA from 1 species